AACGAACGCUGGCGGCGUGCCUAACACAUGCAAGUCGAACGAGAAAGGGGCUUCGGCUCCGAGUAAAGUGGCGCACGGGUGAGUAACACGUGGGUAACCUGCCUCUAAGAUUGGGAUAACUCGUCGAAAGAUGAGCUAAUACCGAAUAAGACCACAGUUUCUGCGGGGACAGGUGUCAAAGGUAGCCUCUGCUUGCAAGCUAUCACUUAGAGAUGGGCCUGCGCACCAUUAGCUAGUUGGUAGGGUAACGGCCUACCAAGGCAAAGAUGGUUAGCUGGUCUGAGAGGAUGAUCAGCCACACUGGAACUGAGACACGGUCCAGACUCCUACGGGAGGCAGCAGUGGGGAAUAUUGCGCAAUGGGCGAAAGCCUGACGCAGCAACGCCGCGUGAGUGAUGAAGGCCUUCGGGUCGUAAAGCUCUGUCGGAAGGAACGAAUGCUCCUGAGGUUAAUAGCCUCAGGAGGUGACGGUACCUUCAAAGGAAGCACCGGCUAACUCUGUGCCAGCCGCCGCGGUAAAAC
rnacentral:rRNA from 1 species